CUUGUUAUUCCUUCGGGAGCUUGAUGUCUGUGGGUAGGAUCUUACAUGGUGAAUAUGGGAGUUUCUUCAGCAGACACUUUUCUGUCCACUUCCCUUAGUGCACUUACAACUUCUUGAACAACUUAGUCAGCCAGAGAGCUGCCACAUGCUUCCUCUGUGUUCAGUCUUCCUUCAGAGAUCUUGCAUGCUGUGAUGGGAGCCUAUAGCUCAGCUUCUUGUGCAGACAUUGUUGAGGUGAGAUACUUGGUCCACUGUAGUGACAGCAAAUCCGGAACAGAUCAUGAGGAAAAGGCUAAAAAAAUAAUAG